UGGGGAAUCUUGGACAAUGGGGGCAACCCUGAUCCAGCCAUGCCGCGUGAGUGAUGAAGGCCUUAGGGUCGUAAAGCUCUUUCGCCUGUGAAGAUAAUGACGGUAGCAGGUAAAGAAACCCCGGCUAACUCCGUGCCAGCAGCCGCGGUAAUACGGAGGGGGUUAGCGUUGUUCGGAAUUACUGGGCGUAAAGCGCACGUAGGCGGACCAGAAAGUUGGGGGUGAAAUCCCGGGGGCUCAACCCCGGAACUGCCUCCAAAACUAUUGGUCUAGAGUUCGAGAGAGGUGAGUGGAAUUCCAAGUGUAGAGGUGAAAUUCGUAGAUAUUUGGGAGGAACACCAGUGGCGAAGGCGGCUCACUGGCUCGAUACUGACGCUGAGGUGCGAAAGUGUGGGGAGCAAACAGGAUUAGAUACCCUGGUAGUCCACACCGUAAAACGAUGAAUGCCAGUCGUCGGGUAGCAUGCUAUUCGGUGACACACCUAACGGAUUAAGCAUUCCGCCU
rnacentral:rRNA from 1 species